rfam:Triticum aestivum genome assembly, contig: Triticum_aestivum_CS42_TGACv1_scaffold_418269_5BL
UUACUUACCUGGACGGGGUCGACGGGCGAUCAACAAGGCCCGUGGCCUGGGUCGAUGGCACACAUUGCACUUGGUGGGUGCGUCGGCCCAUCAUCUCCCCUAAGUGGGAGAGUGAACGUCAUAAUUUAUGGUAGAGGGGGUACGCGUUCGCGCGGCCCCCGC